AUUGAACGCUGGCGGCAGGCCUAACACAUGCAAGUCGAGCGGAUGAAGGGAGCUUGCUCCUGGAUUCAGCGGCGGACGGGUGAGUAAUGCCUAGGAAUCUGCCUGGUAGUGGGGGAUAACGUCCGGAAACGGGCGCUAAUACCGCAUACGUCCUGAGGGAGAAAGUGGGGGAUCUUCGGACCUCACGCUAUCAGAUGAGCCUAGGUCGGAUUAGCUAGUUGGUGGGGUAAAGGCCUACCAAGGCGACGAUCCGUAACUGGUCUGAGAGGAUGAUCAGUCACACUUGAACUGAGACACGGUCCAGACUCCUACGGGAGGCAGCAGUGGGGAAUAUUUGACAAUGGGCGAAAGCCUGAUCCAGCCAUGCCGCGUGUGUGAAGAAGGUCUUCGGAUUGUAAAGCACUUUAAGUUGGGAGGAAGGGCAGUAAGUUAAUACCUUGCUGUUUUGACGUUACCAACAGAAUAAGCACCGGCUAACUUCGUG
rnacentral:rRNA from 1 species